UACAGAGGAUGCAAGCGUUUAUCCGGAAUGAUUGGGCGUAAAGCGUCUGUAGGUGGCUUUUUUAAGUCCGCCGUCAAAUCCCAGGGCUCAACUCUGGACAGGCGGUGGAAACUACCAAGCUGGAGUACGGUAGGGGGCAGAGGGAAUUUCCGGGUGGAGCGGGUGAAAUGCGUAGAGAUCGGAAAGAACACCAACGGCGAAAGCACUCUGCUGGGCCGACACUGACACUGAGAGACGAAAAGCUAGGGGGAGCGAAUGGGG
rnacentral:rRNA from 1 species